GAUGAAGAACGUAGUGAAAUGCGAUAAGUAAUGUGAAUUGCAGAAUUCAGUGAAUCAUCGAAUCUUUGAACGCACCUUGCGCCCUUUGGCCAUUCCGAAGGGCAUGCCUGUUUGAGUAUCAUGAACACCUCAACUCUUUAUGGUUUUCCAUGAUGAGCUUGGACUCUGGGGGUUUUGUUGGCUCACAGUCGGCUCCUCUAAAAUGAAUCAGCUUACCAGUGUUUGGUGGGUAUCAUGGGUGUGAUAACUAUCUACGCUUGUGGUUUUUCCACCAGGUAACCUUCAGCAGUGGAGGUUCGCUGGAGCUCAUAGAUGUCUCUCCUCAGUGAGGACAGCCCUUUGAAUGUUUGAUCUCAAAUCAGGUAGGACUACCCGCUGAACUUAAGCAUAUCAAUAAGCGGAGGA
rnacentral:misc_RNA from 1 species